rnacentral:rRNA from 1 species
UACGUAGGGUGCAAGCGUUGUCCGGAAUUAUUGGGCGUAAAGAGCUCGUAGGCGGUUUGUUGCGUCGGCUGUGAAAUCCCGAGGCUCAACCUCGGGUCUGCAGUCGAUACGAGCAAACUAGAGUGUUGCAGGGGAGACUGGAAUUCCUGGUGUAGCGGUGAAAUGCGCAGAUAUCAGGAGGAACACCGAUGGCGAAGGCAGGUCUCUGGGCCAUAACUGACGCUGAGAAGCGAAAGCAUGGGGAGCGAAACAGG